GCUGCAGUUUCCCUGUAGCACCACUGCAAUGGAGUUCAGCCCUAAUGCGUGUAGUUUUAAGUCAAGUCUGUAAUCCACUAACACAUGCAUCUUGAUUAGAUCAAGAUCAUUGUUCAGUAGCUGCAGGGAGUCCAUGAAGUCACCCAGGCCACCAGAACUGCGUGUAACAGGCAAAGAAUAUAAAAAACCUAAGUGCAUGGAGCUGGAGGAGCUGCUCCUUUUGCUGUAGAUACUCAAGACCAGGAUCUAAGUCCCAAGAGGACAUAGAGCUGCCUGUGAUAUAUUGAGGAAAAGAACUGUUCAAGAACUUCAUAACUUCAUGCUGAGGUAAAAACCCAAGAUGAGCUCAACUAAGCCAGGAUUCAAAAAAAAAAAAAUCUAAAGAUGUUAAACAUUUUAACAUUCUUAAUAGUUUACAUAAUGUGAGCCAUUAAAUACUUCAGUGCUGGGAGCUGGUAAAAGAGUUAUUUGAACAAGGUAGUUUAAAUUUAAAGCCUAAUAUUUACCAGGAAAAUAUGCACACUGUCACAAAUAAAUGUAAUACAGUAAUGUCCAGGAAUUGAUACUCAUUCAGAGAAGUCAUCUAGGAAAAGAAAAUGCUGAAUGCAUCACAGAGGAUGGAAGUUUUUAUUGUAUUAUUGAUAUACUCAAUAUAAUAUAUAGAAGAAUACCAGAUAAUCAUCUAUCUUGACUGUGUAAAACUAACUUUGUCAAUUACUUGGAGCACCACAUUCUGAAGAAACAUGCAAACAAACAAACAAAAAGGAGAAAGUUCCCUAAUAAAUUCAUGCCAUUUAUAAAUCAAUACAGAGUUAAAGCUUGAAAUCCUUGGUGAUGUUUCUUGACUCCCAAGCUUUUCCCACCAGAUUUUCUAUUGCACUUCAAGUUUUUAGACAGGUUCCAGUAGAGUGGAACAAUUCCAAUAGAAUACCUUUAGUAAUUUGUGUCAACAUUUUACAACUCUAGAGAAGGAAUGCCUUCUAGGUAACAGCACAGCUCAGGCUGUACAAUCAAGCAAAAUGAUGCAUUACACUUGUGCUCACAGUGUUGUCCUUCAUAAAAGUGGUCACUGAAAUUUGAAAUCUGACAUUCAAAACUCCAAAGUCAAAGUAAGGAUCACCAUGUGUCCACUCACAAGGACAGAAUGGAUGGGAUCAAACACAGUUUUCAAAAAGGAAUCGUUUUUCCUACUCCACCUUCAAGCAUUUGGUAAUGUCCUGUCUUGCAAAGGCCCAAACUCAUGGACUUUGGUCACUUCAGACACCUCUGCUUUGCAGUGAAUCUUUCUACCUAGGAAGACAUAACCUCAGUCCCGUACCAAAUAUCUGCAUUAUUAGUCUUCACUACUUGCAAGGACUGGCAAAUUCCACAAUGAUCACAAAUUGUUCUUCUUGGAACUUUGCAUUUUGUGCGCACUAGCCUAUAAAACAACAUAGAUUUUUAACACUCUAAAAGCUGAGUAGCUUUCUUUUUUUCUCCCUUUUCCUAAAAGG